AUGGAAUUGAGAUCUGGACUAGUGUAAUGAUUAGAGGUAGGACUGGUGUAAUGAUCAAACGUAAGAGAGAAAUCUUUGUCCACAUCGUUGACCUCCUCAUCCUCUGUCAUCGAAACAUUGCCUGCUUCUAUGUCAGGACAGCUUGAAGUAUCAUAUAAAUCUUGAGAAUGGUUUGCAAAUACUGAAGCUUCAGACGAUGAGUUUUCAAUGUCAGCUAUCUCAUUGAGCUCCA